UGAACAGACCAACAAGUAGGGAGACUGAAAAUGGUAAUAAAAAAAGUUUUAUAGUUUAAGUCUCUGCAUGUAUAUCUCUAAUUUUUACUCCAAAUAUACAAGAUACAUUAGUGUGUGGGAAAUGGAUAUAUGUUUGAUGUUUAUGUAAGAAGUAGUAUCCAAGAAGAGCACAGAUUGAAUUGUGACCUUAUGGGUCAUCUAUUAAAACAGGAGCAAGCCAAUGUUUUACCUUUUGAGGUGAGCAGAUUGCUUGAGUGGAGUUAGAAUCCUUACAUAUGACUUUGGCACAACAGUUGCGUAGCCUGCCGAGCAGAAUUUAGACAGUACAGGGAAGUGAUGAUAAUGGCUAGAAGAAGAGUAGAAAGGGAGAGAAACAGGUGAAAAUGACACACAUUCAGGAGGUGGGUCAGUGGGGGCAAAAUAUAGUACCACAAAAACAAGAUCUACAGAAUGAUAAAGUGUAAAGCCAUAUUUACAAUUUAUGGACAUGCAAAAAUAUUCAAUAUAUUGUUUAAGAGUACAGAAAGUUUAAGCCAAGCUACAAAGAAAGGCAGUUGAUUCAUGAACAUAAAAUUUAGAAGAGUGUCUACUGAGGGGGUGGUUCUUUGGUACAGGGGGUGGGACCCACAGAAUGAGGCUAAGGUAACUACUGCUGUGUUUCUUAAGACACGUGAUGGCUAUGCUGGGUUUCUUUAGUUAAUUAUCUUUCUGCUUCGAGUACACAGUUUGUGUAUUUCCUCUAGUGAGUCAGAUAUUUUAUUUUACUUUAUUGAAAUAAGAAAAGUAACCGACAUAGAAACCUUAAUUUAUACUGAUCAUUUUUGAGAGCCUGGGCUAUAGUACUGAACCUGUUUUCUAUCAGGCUCUUUUCUAUUUUUAUUUAAAAAAUAAGAAAUAUUUUAAAUAGUUCUAAUUUCUAUAAAGAAAGAACUGCUCCCUUGAUCCCCAAGUUCAGAUCCCAAAUGUCAGAGCCUCUUCCAUCCAUAUCAACAUCCCCAGGCUGCUAUUCCCCAAAGCCAAACCAUUUUACUCACCUGGGAGCUCCAGUCCUCCCUGCUCCUGCUAAUCAGAGCUGCACACCUUGGCUGUCAGCACCUGAGUGGCCAAUAAGAUCAGGAGUAGGGUAAACACAGCCGACAUGGCCAAGGCAGUGGAGGCUUGUUUACUGUCACCAUGGGAACCUCUAAAGGUUCUUUAAGGGGGUGGGGCCAAAAGCUGGGGCGGAGUCAGAACAACAGGGGCAGCAGCACGUCUCUGAUCCCUCCACACGCAGUGAUUUUGAGAAGCUUUUCUGCUUGGCUACUCAGACGCAGUUCACCCCUCUGUCCUGGAAAUGUGCCUCAAUUAAUUUCUCCCAAGAAGGUGGGACCUCUGGCUCAACUGAACAGAUAGAGAUCAACCCACUACUCCUAUUCCAUCUUGGUCUAUCACUUUUGUAGAUUUCUUGUGUACCAUACCCUGGUUUAUUUAUAUGCAGAGGGAAGCUGCAUAACAACCAAGGAUGAAUGACCUAAGAACAAACACAGCAGGUGAUCUGGAAAAACCCUUAUUGGGAAACUCAUAGAGAUAUUAGAGAACAUGGGAGAUACUGGAAACUAUUUUAGAAGAUGUGGGAAUAGCUGUCAACUCUUCCUAAGAUCCAACACAGCAUGGCAGAUGCAACAGCAAAACAGUGAGAGGCCCUCAACUGAUUAAAAUGGAGCAAAGAAUGAAGGAUGGCCUGGGUGACAAUCCUGAUGGAGCAAUCCUGGUGAAAGGGAAAUAUUAAGCAUUAGCUCUCCCACCACCACCGUGACUGUGGCUUCCUCAAGUUAUAGGUAUCCCUGUUCUACCAAGCAAUAGGCAAGGUAAGUAAGACCUUAUGUCUCACAAGCAAAUGAUAAUAUAAACAUAUUCUUAUUUUUAGAUGAAACACUAAAUAUUGAUCUUCAUAUAACUUUGUUCAUUAAGAAUAUGCCCAUAUUAUUUAGAUAAACAAACAGCUCCUAUGUUUUCUUCAUCCCUGUAGAAAUUUCACAGGUAAAAAUACUAGACAAGCAUGAAAAGAAUCUACAAGGAUGGCUACCUUUGUCCCUUUCCAUUCUUAAUUUUCAGGUUCUAUUUGAGAAAAUAGAUACAGUACAGGCAGUAAGUAAGUCUUUUCAAAUAUGAGAAAACUAUUUUUAACAUCAGAAAGGCCUAUAGAUAUCUGUCUGAUUAAAACUGAUCUUUUAGAACUGAUUAUUUGACAAAAUACUCCAUGACUAAUAAUACUUACUGUGAGUUCAUGUGAGCUGAGUGAUGCUUUCUGAUUAUUUUUCUUUUAUGGGUCACAAUAACAUCUAUAUGUGCAUGUGUGUGUAUGUGUGGGUGUGUAGUAUAUAUAUGGACAUAUAAAAAUAUUAGCACGAAGCAUGGUGAGAUAUAAUAUUUAUUCAGAUGGCAAUAUUUGGUGGCCAUGUGGAAUAUUAGAGUCUCUUAUGGUCACAGAAACAAUGGAUCUAUCAUUUUGACAGUUGACAUAAGAAAUUGUUUUAUAAAGAAGAAUCUUCUUUGAAAAAAUGUCUUGAAGAGUUUCUUGAAAUGGAGAGACCCUGAAUCAUGAUGACAGAAAGAUCAAAAGCAAUAAAAGAAGACUGAAUUGCUCUGUGUGAGACGAAAAGAGAAAUUUGUUUUAACUCUGGAGAGGUGUCGGGGUGGGGUAAAGCGGGGGCCAGGAGCGUGCUGUGGGUUUAGGAGAACCCAUGAGUGACAUCU